UGGGGAAUCUUGGACAAUGGGGGCAACCCUGAUCCAGCCAUGCCGCGUGAUCGAUGAAGGCCUUAGGGUUGUAAAGAUCUUUCAGCUGGGAAGAUAAUGACGGUACCAGCAGAAGAAGCCCCGGCUAACUCCGUGCCAGCAGCCGCGGUAAUACGGAGGGGGCUAGCGUUGUUCGGAAUUACUGGGCGUAAAGCGCACGUAGGCGGACCAUCGAGUUGGGGGUGAAAUCCCGGGGCUCAACCCCGGAACUGCCUCCAAGACUGCUGGUCUGGAGGUCGAGAGAGGCGAGUGGAAUUCCGAGUGUAGAGGUGAAAUUCGUAGAUAUUCGGAGGAACACCAGUGGCGAAGGCGGCUCGCUGGCUCGAUACUGACGCUGAGGUGCGAAAGCGUGGGGAGCAAACA
rnacentral:rRNA from 1 species